CACGUAGGGGCCAAGCGUUGUCCGGAUUUAUUAGGCGUAAAGAGCUCGUAGGCGGUUGGGUAAGUCGGGUGUGAAAACUCCGGGCUCAACUCGGAGACGCCACCCGAUACUGCUCUGACUUGAGUCCGGUAGGGGAGUGGGGAAUUCCUGGUGUAGCGGUGAAAUGCGCAGAUAUCGGGAGGAACACCGGUGGCGAAGGCGGUUCUCUGGGCCUGUACUGACGCUGAGGAGCGAAAGCGUGGGGAGCAAACAGG
rnacentral:rRNA from 1 species